rfam:Ipomoea nil DNA, scaffold: scaffold2036, cultivar: Tokyo-kokei standard.
GGGUCCAUAGCUCAGUGGUAGAGCAUUUGACUGCAGAUCAAGAGGUCACUAGUUCGAACCUGGUUGGGCCCU